GUAGGUGGCAAGCGUUGUCCGGAAUUAUUGGGCGUAAAGCGCGCGCAGGCGGUUCUUUAAGUCUGAUGUGAAAGCCCACGGGCUCAACCGUGGAGGGUCAUUGGAAACUGGAGAACUUGAGUACAGAAGAGGAAAGCGGAAUUCCACGUGUAGCGGUGAAAUGCGUAGAGAUGUGGAGGAACACCAGUGGCGAAGGCGGCUUUCUGGUCUGUAACUGACGCUGAGGCGCGAAAGCGUUGGGAGCAAACAGGAUUAGAUACCCUGGUAGUCCACGCCGUAAACGAUGAGUGCUAAGUGUUAGGGGGUUUCCGCCCCUUAGUGCUGCAGCUAACGCAUUAAGCACUCCGCCUGGGGAGUACGGCCGCAAAGGCUG
rnacentral:rRNA from 1 species